rnacentral:lncRNA from 1 species
GAGGGAGGAUGUUGGAGUGCAAACAAAGUCCCACAUUGAGUGAAAUAAGGAUUGGUCAAGAGUUUAUAUACACAUAGAUAUCUCCAAUGGUAAGAGGCCUUUUGGAGUGGUACCAAAAGCAAACCCGUGAGGGCUUGGCCCAAAGCGGACAAUGUCUUACCAUGUGUGGAGUUCUAUGUGUGUGUCGAACCUCCCCCCAUCAUGUUUCUCAUCUUUUUCGUUCUUUGUCAUGGUGGUGCAACCUUGUAUCUCCGCUCUGUAAUGGUGGAGCCAUAAGAUGCUCUUUCAUCUUCAACGUCCA